rnacentral:rRNA from 1 species
UGGGGAAUAUUGGACAAUGGGCGAAAGCCUGAUCCAGCCAUGCCGCGUGUGUGAAGAAGGUCUUCGGAUUGUAAAGCACUUUAAGUUGGGAGGAAGGGCAGUAAGUUAAUACCUUGCUGUUUUGACGUUACCGACAGAAUAAGCACCGGCUAACUCUGUGCCAGCAGCCGCGGUAAUACAGAGGGUGCAAGCGUUAAUCGGAAUUACUGGGCGUAAAGCGCGCGUAGGUGGUUUGUUAAUUUGGAUGUGAAAGCCCCGGGCUCAACCUGGGAACUGCAUCCAAAACUGGCAAGCUAGAGUACGGUAGAGGGUGGUGGAAUUUCCUGUGUAGCGGUGAAAUGCGUAGAUAUAGGAAGGAACACCAGUGGCGAAGGCGACCACCUGGACUGAUACUGACACUGAGGUGCGAAAGCGUGGGGAGCAAACA